GGGCCCUGGGUUUCUGAAACUAAAGAGUAUUCCACGGCCGCCUCAGGAUAUUCGUUGUAGGCGGCUAGGGACCAGCCGUAGCAAAUACCAACUCUGAUCCUGCCAUAGACUAGCAGAAGCUCGGGGGUUGAAAGCAAGAACUAAUUACUUUUGUAGGAACCGUUUACGAAAGCGUCAACGAGCAGAAAGUAUUUAGGUUCUUAAAGUGGAGACUGAUACUUUAUGCUUACGGGGGCUGACAGGGAUAAUUAGUAAUGAGGCUAGGGCUUCCGGUUGUGUUAUCCUGGCCUUAGGAUACUACAAUAGGGUACGAUUACAUAGGUCUCGCUACCGAACGAAACUCGUGAGAUUAAAGAAGUUUCAUUGCUACGGCCUUUGUGCUGGGCCGGUUAAUUCCGAUCCUCGCGCUACGGCCGGCUUCCCAGCUCAUCCAGCCACGAGCGGCACUCCGCCUGGCCGGCUGGGCCGGAUUCCAGGUUGAUGCUCGAAAAAUUGACGUUGUUGAAUUCAUAUGCGAUAACCUCGGCCUUAAUGGCGCCGACGACCGUGGUCUGAACGGGAGGUUACCUAGGAGCGAUUCCCUAAAUCUAACAUGAGUAAGGUUAAUGGUCUGUGAUUACGCGG
rnacentral:rRNA from 1 species